AGGGGCGUCGCCAAGCGGUAAGGCACGACACUUUGACUGUCGCAUUCGUAGGUUCAAGUCCUGCCGCCCCUGCCA
rnacentral:tRNA from 1 species